rnacentral:rRNA from 1 species
GCUGGCGGCGUGCUUAACACAUGCAAGUCGAACGGGGUCCAUGGAGCUUGCUCCGGAAGACCUAGUGGCGAACGGGUGCGUAACACGUGAGAAACCUGCCCUGGACUUGGGAAUAACAGUCGGAAACGACUGCUAAUACCGAAUACCUUCACACCGUCGCAUGGCGGAGUGAAGAAAGCUUUUGCGGUCUGGGAGGGUCUCGCGGCCUAUCAGCUAGUUGGUGAGGUAACGGCUCACCAAGGCAUCGACGGGUAGCUGGUCUGAGAGGAUGAUCAGC